rnacentral:lncRNA from 10 species
CUUGGGGCCGCGAGUGGGAGCGGGAGCGGUUCUGCGGCCUCCUCGGGCUUCUUGGCCCUGGGCGGAGUGGGAUUGGGUGUCCCGGCUGUUCGCAGUGGCCGCGAGUGCGGCCGGACCUGGAGUAGUACCUGAGCCGCUCUGGCCGAGCAAGGCGCGGGGCCCCGGUCUACACCGCGCUGGACCCGGCUAUGCCGUGACGGAAUUCCCGAGGCCGUAGCGCCACGCGAGACGCGCACUGGUGGCCUCCGCGCUCGCCUCCCUUCCGCCAAGAUUCACAGAACACGGCAGAGUGGCCUCGGGAUCACCUGCCCAAGACACCUGCACGACCGGAAGUUGGGAGAAGAAAUUAAGGCCAUGAUGAUGAACGCAGCCUUUCUCGUUUAUUUCCAAUCCCACAACAAACCGGAGUCCAGGAACUCAUGGGUGAUUAUCGGACUAUUACCUAGUCGUAAAACUGUGGAGCAUUGGUGUCUAAAGGAAUCUGAGACAGACCCGCAGUGUCUCCCCCACAUGCCUUAAGUCACUUCUGCCAAGCAGAAAAUCAUUUUUAAGUAAAUGUUAGUGAAAUUGGUUUUAAAAAAGAGAAGGGGCCGGGCGCGGUGGCUCACGCCUGUAAUCCUAUCCUUUAGGAGGCCGAGGUGGGCGGAUUGCCUGAGUUCAGGAGUUCGAGACCAGCCUGGGCGACACGGUGAAACCCCGUCCCUACUAAAAUACAAAAAAUUAGCCGGGCGUGGCGGCACGCGCCUGUAGUCCCAGCUACUCAGGAGGCUGAGGCAGGAGAAUGGCUUGAACUCGGGUGGGGGAGGUUGCAAUGAGCCGAGAUCGCGCCGCUGCACUCCAGCCUGGGCGACAGAGCGAGACUCUGUCUCUGAAAAAAAACAAAACAAAACGAGAAGGCUUUCAAAAUUACUCUGCGGUACACUAAUUUAACAGAUUAGAUCACUUUCCAGGCUUUAAGUUGGCCUUUGUUCUACCCUUUUUUUAGUGUAUGAUAAAAGUUGUGUUGGUUCGUUGAUCAGCAUGCAAUGAACUCUGGCUCUUGUUAAUCAGGUGACUACAGUUUUGUCCUUACAUUUGUAUGUAUGUCAUGAGUGGUUUUGUAUGGGCAGGAGGUAAACAACGCACAUUUAAAUAUACUUAAUGAUUUAUCAUUCCAAUGUUUUCUGGUUGUUUUAGUCUUUCAUUUGUCUCUUGAACAAUCUGAAACAUCCCUAUUCUAAGGCUAAAAAAUUUCCUUUACAAACUUAGGUUAAACAUUCCUAAUCUGAAAUCCAAAAUGCUCUAAAAUUCGAAUUUUUUUGAGUACUGACGUGACCCCACAAAUGGAAAAUUCCACACUUGCCCUCAUGUGACACUGGGUGACAGUCAAGUCACAAUCAAGCCUGGUGUGGUGGGCACCUGUAGUGCCAGCUACUCGGGAGGUUGAGCAGGAGGAUUGCUUGAGCCCAGGAGUUUGAGUCCAGCCUGGACGAUAUAGCCAGACCCUGUCUGUAAAAAAACAAAAACCAAAACAAAAAAAACAAUGAAAACAUUUUUUUUUAAAACGCCAUCAAAACUUUGUUUCAUGCACAAAAUUAUUUAAAAUAUAUAAUAUAACCUUACCUUCAGGCUAUGUGGGUAAGGUAAGGUGUAUGUGAAACAAAUGAAUUUCCCAUUUAGACUUGGGUCCCAUCCCCAAGAUAUCUUAUUAUGUAUAUGCAAAUAUUCCAAAUCAAAAAUAUCUGAAAUACUUUUGUCCCAAGCAUUUCAGAUAAAGGUUACUCAACCUGUAAUAAAAACACUCAGUGCUUGCCUGAAGGAAAAACCAAGAAUUUGUCAUCCAUCCUUAAAUUUUUAUGACACCCUUUGUAAUCAGGAAACCUUUUAAUACCUAAGAAUAUAUUUGAUAUAUUCUGGUAUAUGUUUAUCAUUCUGAUGUUUAAUGUUCUAUGUUGGGCAUAUAUCAGUGUAAUAA